rnacentral:rRNA from 1 species
GACGAACGCUGGCGGCGUGCCUAAUACAUGCAAGUCGAGCGAAGUUUUUCUGGUGCUUGCACUAGAAAAACUUAGCGGCGAACGGGUGAGUAACACGUAAAGAACCUGCCUCAUAGACUGGGACAACUAUUGGAAACGAUAGCUAAUACCGGAUAACAGCAUUAACUGCAUGGUUGAUGUUUAAAAGUUGGUUAUGCUAACACUAUGAGAUGGCUUUGCGGUGCAUCAGCUAGUUGGUGGGGUAAAGGCCCACCAAGGCGACGAUGCAUAGCCGACCUGAGAGGGUGAUCGGCCACACUGGGACUGAGACACGGCCCAGACUCCUACGGGAGGCAGCAGUAGGGAAUCUUCCGCAAUGGGCGAAAGCCUGACGGAGCAACGCCGCGUGAGUGAAGAAGGAUUUCGGUUCGUAAAGCUCUGUUGUUAGGGAAGAAUGGAUAUGUAGUAACUAUACAUAUAAGAGACGGUACCUAACCAGAAAGCCACGGCUAACUACGUGCCAGCAGCCGCGGUAAUACGUAGGUGGCAAGCGUUGUCCGGAAUUAUUGGGCGUAAAGCGCGCGCAGGUGGUUUAAUAAGUCUGAUGUGAAAGCCCACGGCUCAACCGUGGAGGGUCAUUGGAAACUGUUAAACUUGAAUGCAGGAGAGAAAAGUGGAAUUCCUAGUGUAGCGGUGAAAUGCGUAGAGAUUAGGAGGAACACCAGUGGCGAAAGCGGCUUUUUGGCCUGUAACUGACACUGAGGCGCGAAAGCGUGGGGAGCAAACAGG